UUUUGGAUUUUAUUUCGGAUCCCAAAUUUAAGUUGAUGUCUUAAAUUCUUUAUCCCUCUUAUUUUAGGUAAUUAGCGUUUUAUUUUGGUUUUAUUCUUUUUGGUAAAAAGAAAAGGAAAAAGGGAAAACAAAAAGGAAAAAAAGAAAACCGUAACAUGUUUUUCUCUUCCUUUCUUCUUCCCAGACGCCCCCUUUUGUGCUCUCAGCCAGCCGCCAAGCCCUCCCUCUCUGAUGAUUCCAUCUUCUCCAGCGACCCAUGACGCAGUAGCAUUCUUCGACGGAGCUCAGCAAUGACUAGCGCCUCAACUAGCGUCAGCGGCGACAGUGUUCUCUGACGGUUCCUAGCAGCAGCGACACUUGUUCCUCCUCUCUCCACGGUGGCACCCACGAUUUGCGACAGCCACGACUCACAGCGAGCGGAUCAGCGACGCGACCUUCAUCUCUCAUGUUCCUCUUAGCAGACUAGCGGCGUGCAGCUUCCUCCCACGACGCAAGAACCCUUGCGGCAGCGGCACAUGUUCCGAGAACCAGACCCGAAGGUAGCUCUUUCACGCGACGAUCUGCAGCGUUCCAGUGACCUCCUACUGUGACUCAUGAACAGACUCAACGUCCUACAGCAACGACGACCCAUCCCUGACGGACGACAGCAGCAUUCCCUGGACAACAAUGCGUAUAGGACCAACAAGCCUGAACCCCUUCGAGCUUGUUUCUGCAGUGUCGAACACAUUCGAAAUCAAUCCAACACAGACCAAAGUGUUUCAGCGAGGUUCAUUAGAUUCUACAGGUAACAAAGUAUCGCGUGAGUAUGGUGAUGGUGUGGAGCAGACUUGACUGCAAAGACCAUUUAGCUGUGUAGUUUAGUUUUCAUUUAUCGUUUUGGAUAGGAUAGUAGUAUUUGUUUUUGCUUUGUGUUGGGUUUAUCCCUUGCAUUAAUAGGUUGGUUUAUUAGUUUUUUUUUUAUUAAAGGUUGUAUAAUUCUUUGAAGUCGUCGAUAGAUGAUUCUCUGUUCAAACUAAAAAUCAUUCUAGUUUGUUGAAUCAUAAUUCUUUGAGAGCUUAAGUUUUAUUAGUGUUUGAGUUAUGGGCUAAGACUUGUCGAAGUUGCUAGUCAUUACCUCGUUAUUGGUUUGACAUAAUAAGUAGUUUUUCUCCUGGAUGGGCGAAACUUUACAAAAGAUUAAUUGCUUAGGCUAGGUUGUUUGUGUUUAUAACGUAUAAAUUGUGGUUUGAGUUAUGGUAUUAGAGAAGUGCAGCAGAAGCAUGGGGGAAUUUAUCCUCAUUUUGUGUUGCUAGUGGUUUAGUUCUCUAAUGCGAGUGGAACUUUUUAGGUGGUUGUAGUAACGGUCAUCGUUUGGGAAGUUGAACAUCCUAGGGCGUUACAAAGUUACUUUAUAAAAACAAUCCCUCUGCUUCCUGCCUUAGUUUUGAGAGAAAAGACACACUGUAGAAAAAUGCGCUAGGUGCUACUUGACACUUUUCUGGAAAAUGAGUUAUACUCUUAACACGAACCACUUUUGGUUGUUUUAGAGUCUAGCUAUAACGUCCCCAAAUUUCAAACAACUCAAAUAAGGAAUCUCCUAUUCAGCUCAACACAAACAAAAGGGAAUGAUUACAUUUUGUCCAACAACUUCAUACAAAUAAACUUUAUUAACUUUAAAGGUUUCAAUAGCACAACUAAAAUAACUAGAGUUCUCAACAGAAUAACUAAUUAACCCACUUUAUACAAUCCUAUAACGAGGAAACCAAACAAACCAACCUAUUAACAAAAAACAAAUGCAAACUAUAAUGAAACAACUGGAACUACUACCAAGUGUAACAAUAACGAAAAACAAAACUAAGCUACGCAACAAAUGGUUGUUUCAGGUUAAGUCUCUUCCUCGCCAUCACGUACAAUAAUUAGUACUCAGUAAGCAGCCCUUACAUAAAGGGUCACGCACACACAACAUGCUUACACAACAACAAAACAUCCUACUCAUUAUUAAUAUCACGCUUUAAAUAAAACAGACAGUUUAUGAUGUUUGACCCCUAACGUGCAACCUACAUGCCAAACCCAAGCUUCACAUAACAACUCACUAAGUUCUCUUUCCUAUUCCUCCAAUACUUACUCCUCUGAGUCGUAUCGAUCUCUGACCUUUAUAUGGCACUUGGUGUUCGACCCUUCACCAUUUUUCCAAGGUCCCGAACUAUUGCAGUGACCCUUAACCACGCAUAGCUAAGGCAUCAAUGACUUUGCUACAUAUUGGCCUUUGUCUUUUCCUCUCAAGGCCUCAAUAUAUGCCUUCCUCUAAGACUCAUCUCAUCGACCCUCGACCAUUUACCUGAAGCCUCGACAGUAAUCUUUGUCCAAAGCUGGCGUAUCAACGCCUGACCAUUUGCUCGAAGCCUCAAUACCCAACCAGUGACAUAUUAGCCCUCUAGCCCUAAUACUCACACCAUAACAAAACCAAAACUCUUAGAGUCCUACAUGCUUCUAAGUCAUGACUCAUGCAUCAAACGUCUCACAAUAAUUCAGCAUGCUUCUUAAACCACCACCAACAUGCCAACAAUAUAAGAACAAUACCAGUAUGCUUUAUAGUAACAGAGUUUGAUCAAACAAUUAUAAACAGCUAGAACAAAUCAUAGUCAUCUAGAAUGUCCAACAUUCAUAGGAAACAUCUAGCAACAAUAUCCAACAAGCAUUAAAAGAUAAAGCACACAAAUUAAAACAUGCAAAUCAUACAUAAGCACACAACAAACAUCCCUUUAAGUAAGAACUACUUACAACUAAGGUCUUAAGGUGAUACUAAGCUUGCCAAAGGGUUUCUAAAUCAAAAGCAACCAAACUUUUGGGUUAGAAACCAAACCAAACUUUUGGGUUAGAAACCAACUAAAACACUUUAAUUAAAUCGAAAAUCAUCUUAGGUGAGUCGUUACCUAAUAACUCACACUGAAACAACUUGAGGUAAUGCCAAAUCAAGGCCGAGGUUCGGGCUUCCAAAUCCGACGCUGACAAGGUUGGGUUACACAAAACUAGUUCCAUUUGGGUGUGGCUACGUGCCGAAUAUAUGUCGAAUGGUAUGGGUAUCACAAAUCAUGCUUUGACGGGUGUGGGUCAACGCUGAAAGUAGCCAGAACGAUGAAAACGCCACAAAAAUCGAGUUGUUUGUCGUGCAUUGCCGUGAGGGGUUGCUAAAACGUCGCGGGUCUACUCUGCUCACCGUGGAGAAUGAGACUGCACCAGAUCUUGCUCGAAACACUGCCAGAAAACGCUGCUAAUCGAGGGAUACGUGGGUUCUGGGUUCGAGUCGUUGGAAUCUUCGAGUCAGGGUCGUUGCUGCAGAAGGAAGCACUGUCGUCCGUGUUCCCGCCAGAUCUACUUGAAGACAUCGUCGGAGAACAUUGAAACUUCACGCUGCCGCCGAUUGCUAUAGGUUGAUGUUGCUACUGCUAGAGGACACUGAUGCGAAUGGGUACGAAAUCGGAGAAGCUGUUGUUGUGGAGAGAAGCCACUGUCAUCAGAUCUGCUGCUCGCAUUUGUCUUCACCGGAGGAAGAUCGUGGGAGGAGGAAGCUGAAAAGGGGGGUGGGUGGUGGCUGGGCAAAUGGAGAAGAAGGGGGGAAGAGAAACA